CAGUCGCCACGGGAAAACCAGCAGCCCAAGUGGUGGUCGCGCUUAUUGGGCCUAAAGCGCUCGUAGCCUGGCCGGUAAGUUCCCCGUGAAAUCGGGUCGCCCAACGAUUCGGCUUGCGGGGAAUACUGUCGGUCUUGGGGCCGGGAGACGCCGAGGGUACUCCGGGGGUAGCGGUGAAAUGCUGUAAUCCUCGGGGGACUACCAGUGGCGAAGGCGCUCGGCGAUAACGGGCCUGACGGUGAGGGGCGAAAGCUGGGGGCGCAAACAGGAUUAGAUACCCCCGUAGUCCCUGUCUCUUAUA
rnacentral:rRNA from 1 species